UGCAUUCACUACUGUAAGUCGCUUUGGAUAAGAGCGUCUGCUAAAUGACUAAAA
rfam:Salmo salar isolate Sally breed double haploid chromosome ssa15, whole genome shotgun sequence.